rnacentral:rRNA from 1 species
UGAAUUGCAGAAUCCCGUGAACCAUCGAGUCUUUGAACGCAAGUUGCGCCUGAAGCCAUUAGGCUAAGGGCACGUCUGCCUGGGCGUCACGCAUCGCGUCACCCCUCCCCCAAUUUUGGAGGAAGGGUG